CCUACGGGCGGCAGCAGUGGGGAAUAUUGGACAAUGGGGGCAACCCUGAUCCAGCCAUGCCGCGUGUGUGAAGAAGGCCCUCGGGUUGUAAAGCACUUUCAGUGAGGAAGAACGCCUGGUGGUUAAUACCCAUCAGGAAAGACAUCACUCACAGAAGAAGCACCGGCUAACUCAGUGCCAGCAGCCGCGGUAAUACGGAGGGUGCGAGCGUUAAUCGGAAUUACUGGGCGUAAAGCGCGCGUAGGUGGCUUGAUAAGCCGGUUGUGAAAGCCCCGGGCUCAACCUGGGAACGGCAUCCGGAACUGUCAAGCUAGAGUGCAGGAGAGGAAGGUAGAAUUCCCGGUGUAGCGGUGAAAUGCGUAGAGAUCGGGAGGAAUACCAGUGGCGAAGGCGGCCUUCUGGACUGACACUGACACUGAGGUGCGAAAGCGUGGGUAGCAAACAGGAUUAGAUACCCUGGUAGUC
rnacentral:rRNA from 1 species